GAUAAACCACUGCCCAGCAGGACUCUGCGUUUUGAGGCCACGGAGAUCAGCCCCAGCCUCCUCGCCCCGGGUCCACACCCCACCGCACCCCGCCUUGCGCCCUGGACUUUGGGAGGAAUGCUGAGAAAAGCCUUCGGAGAGGAAGUGAAGAACUCGCAGCUCCAGACCACGCAGUGAAGAAGGGGAGGCAGAGAAACAGUAGGUGCACUUGGAGUCGCGGGAGAUUUCUCCUGUGCCUAAAGAACUGGGAGAAAAGGACCCACGAUCGUCUUGCAAAGCUCGCAAACUCCAGUAGCAGCACUAAGAGGGUGCAUCCGUGGCUGUAAAUCUUUACCAGAAGCCGACUGCCACUUCUUGCUCCCACUGUUUGAAGACAGUUACCAGUAAAGUAAUACCAGAGAAGGGUGAGUCCUAGUCCUAAUCCUUUCCGAGUGCUGUUUCAUAAAACAGAAGAGAUGCGCAGUGAGGGUCAGGCACAGAAGGAAGAUACCAUGUGAGCAAGAUCUCUCACAGACCAAGGAAGGCCAAGAAAUCGAACUCCCGGGCACCACCGACAAGGAAGGCUCUUUCCCCCAGGAGCCCACAGGUAGGAUAGCCCCGCCGACUCUCUAAAUUGGGACGGACUUCUCUUCUAGUCCCUAGAGCACUGAGGUAAACAAACACGCGCUCUGAAAACCAGAAACUUAGCUGCACUUUCAUUGUAGCAGGCCUCCGUGAGAAACUUGGAGCAAUGCUACCAAUGACCCAGUAAAGAACCUCAGCCUUCUUUUGAGCGGGUCUCUCGGUAACUAAGGAGCAAAGUGGUUUUGUCACACAUGGGCAGAUUCCAACUAAGGAGCACUUCGCGGUUUCGUCACACGUAAGUCAUACAUAAAGAGACUGCUCCAUCUGUGCUGAUGAGGCGCAACUGGACAACUUGGGCAGAGACAAAAGCUGGAAAAAAAGGAAAACACGUAGCUCCGCGAAAUACUCAGUUGUUAACAAGCAAAUGCAGAAUGGAACCACAGCAGAUCUACUUUUGAGAAACAACAAAGAUCAGGGGAAAGCGCGAACGCAGUCCCCCACUACCACAAACUAUGCAGUCGAGUUUCCCACAUUUGGGGAAAUCGCAGGGGUCAGCACAUCCCGAGUGCAAUGGAUAAGCCUCGCCCUGGGAAAACCACCUUCGUGAUCAUGGUAUCUCCCCUGCCAGGUAAGUAUGAGUUGUUCCUCUGCCGCCCCCACGCAGCCUCGCACUCCUUACACUUUACGCAGACGGUCAUUUCGCUAGCCUCACUCCCGACCCCUCAGAGCCCUUCUACGCUCCCACAGCACACAAUUUCAUGGACAGACCUGGACUCCUUCCCACACCACCAACAGUCAUAACGUCUUUAAGCAGCACACGCCGAUCCAGCAGCCACUGCGCUGCCACUGUCUACAUAAGACAGUGCCCCGUCAGUGACAUCACCGACCGCGCUCUUCCCGCCUACCCACGGCCCGCCCCCUCCCCGCGUUUUCCUCCUCCCGUCCCUCCCAGACGGCCAAUGAGCGGGCCGGCAGUCGGAGGAAGAAGUGACGUCUACCUUCCCCCGCCCCAACGGCCACCGUUUACGCGGUGAGCGGAGCCGGGGGCCUGGCCCAGCCGCGUCUCUCCCGGACUGCGCGGCUUCUUCACGUCUCCUUCCCACACCUCUUGGGCGUUCGGCUGGAGCCUGUGCAACCUUCUCGGAAUAAUGAGUGGCUCUUAACACGUAGAAUAGAGCAGAAAUUGAUAUUAGCCCUGCCUCAAAAUCAUUUUUUUCCAUGGCAUAAAAGGUAUCCUUUUUUUUUUCGAAGGCACCUUAAGGAGACCAAGACAAGUGUGUUACCGAGAGAAUUUGCAGCCAUCCACGGAUCACAAAAAGAUGUUUAAACACGUUUUGUGUGGAAUACACCCGUGCAUGUAUGAACUGGAAUCCUAGCAGCAGUACUUUUUGACUUACCCUCCUGUCGCUCAGGGACAUGGGUUACACUUUUCACGAUGUGUCAGCCUUCUCGUUAUUUCCUUUGUGAUGGUUCUGUUUCCAUCGCUUCCCUGCCCCUCCUUACCUUCUCAUCAUCGGCCUGGGGUAAAUUUUGACCGUUAGGUCUCAUUAUUUAGAGGAGCACGGUAGUCGCAGGUGAUAUUAUUUAUUUUAUGAGCCACUCUGUCUCUUGGCUGGUAAGGGAACACCAGGAGUGGUUUGAGAUCCAAGUAUAAGGGCUAUCCCAGGGCGAUAGUCUCAGGCGUUCCUCUAGUCUCUACCGGUCCAGUAAGUGUUGACUUUUUUUUAGGAAUUUGAGUUUUGUUUUACGUUUUCGUUCCAUUCUAUCCUGGACCAUCUAUUAUAUCCCUGGUCAGAAUGGUCGGUAAUUGUAGCCGAGCACCAUCUCGGUAUUCUGCUCUCAAGGUAGAUGAGGCUGUGCUUCGCUUAGACUAUGAGUCCUGUAGACUAGUGUCUUCUUUGAGUCUUCGGUUUCCUUUUUCUCUUUUGCUCCUCUUUAUUUAUUCUUAAGAUAAAAAUCCUCUGGGACAACUUCUUGGCAUUCCGACCAAACGGAGUCAAAAAACCUGUCAUCACCCUACAGUGAAGCUCAAAGUUGGCAAAUUCCACUCACUCAGGGCUUUCUAUCUGCUUUUUAGGUCUCUGCUCUCAACUAGAGAUGACCAGAUUUACCUGAGAAAAUCAUCUCAUAUCAGUCACGGCUCUGACAGGAAACAGAAGCUACAUUCAAACUGAGUGAUUUAAAGGGAGUCAACAUGUAACAUGGGGAAAAGACAGUGUGUUUAACAAAUGCUGCCGGCAUUCCUGGAUAUCCAUCUGCAAAAAAAGGAAACAAGACCUGGACAUCCAUCUGGGACAAAAUUAAACAAGACCUGGAUGUCCAUCUGCAAAAAAAAUGAAACAAGGUAUCCAUGUACAAAAACUAACUCAAAAUGGACUAAAGGCCUAAAUAUAAAAUCUAGAACGACAAAGAUCAUGGAAGAACAAAUAGCGACUAGGAGCUAGGAGCUCUAAUGCAUGGCAUAAACAGAAUACAAAUCAUAACUAACAAUGCAUAAACACCAGAAGAGAAACUAGAUAACUGGCAGCUCCUAAAAAUUAAACGCUUAUGCUCAUCAAAAGACACCACCAAAAGAGCAAGAAGCUAGCCUACAGACUGGGAAAAAUUUUUUGGCUAUGACAUAUCCUAUCAGGGUCUAAUCUCUAAAAUCUACAAGACACUGCAAAACCUCAACAACAAAAAGACAAAUAGCCCAAUUAAAAAAUGGGCAAAGGAUAUGAACAGACACUUCACCAAAGAAGACAUUCAGGCGGCUAACAGAUACAUGAGGAAAUGCUCGCGAUCAUUAGCCCUUAAAAAAAAAAUUUUUUUUUGAGAAAUGCAAAUGAAAACUGCAAUGAGAUACCAUCUCUCCCCAACAAGGCUAGCACUAAUCCAAAAAACACAAAAUAAUAAAUGUAGGAGAGGUUGUGGAGAGACUAGGACACUUAUACGCUGCUGGUGGGAAGUAAAAUGGUACAACCAAUUUGGAAAUCAGUAUGGCGCUUACUUAAAAAGCUAGAAAUAGACGUAUCAUACGAUCCAGCAAUCCCACUCCUUGGAAUACAUCCUGCAGAAAUAAGAGCUGUCACAUGAAUAGAUAUAUGCACAUCCAUGCGACUCGACGGCACUGGGUGGUGGGUUCAUUGCAGCACUGUUCACAACAGCAAAAAGAGGGAACCAAUCCAGGUGCCCAUCAACAGAUGAAUGGAUAAACAAAUUAUGGUAUAUACACACAGUGGAAUACUACGCAACAAUAAAGAGCAAUGAGGAAUCUGAGAAACAUCUCACAACGUGGAUGAAUUGGGAAGGCAUUAUGCUGAGUGAAAUUAGUCAGUCACGAAAGGAGAAAUAUUGCGUGAGACCACAAUUAUAAGAACUCAGGAAAAGGUUUAAACACAGGAGAAGACAUUCUUUGAUGGCUAUGAAUGUGGGGAGGAAGGGAGACAGGAAUUCACUAACUAGAUAGUAGACAAAAACUAUCCGAGGUGAAGAGAAGGACAACACACAAUACAGGGGAAGUCAGCACAACUGGAGCAAACCAAAAGCUAAGAAGUUUCCUGAAUACAACCAAACAUUUUGAGGGACAGAGUAGCAGGGGCUGGGGGCUGGGGACCAUGGUUUCGGGGGACAUCU